AUUGAACGCUGGCGGCAGGCCUAACACAUGCAAGUCGAACGGUAGCACAGAGAGCUUGCUCUCGGGUGACGAGUGGCGGACGGGUGAGUAACGUCUGGGAAACUGCCCGAUGGGGGGGGAUAACUACUGGAAACGGUAGCUAAUACCGCAUAACGUCGCAAGACCAAAGUGGGGGACCUUCGGGCCUCACACCAUCGGAUGUGCCCAGCUGGGAUUAGCUAGUAGGUGGGGUAAUGGCUCACCUAGGCGACGAUCCCUAGCUGGUCUGAGAGGAUGACCAGCCACACUAGAACUGAGACACGGUCCAGACUCCUACGGGAGGCAGCAGUGGGGAAUAUUGCACAAUGGGCGCAAGCCUGAUGCAGCCAUGCCGCGUGUAUGAAGAAGGCCUUCGGGUUGUAAAGUACUUUCAGCGGGGAGGAAGGCGGUGAAGUUAAUAGCUUCACCGAUUGACGUUACCCGCAGAAGAAGCACCGGCUAACUCCGUGCCAGCAGCCGCCGUAA
rnacentral:rRNA from 1 species